rnacentral:rRNA from 1 species
UACGUAGGGAGCAAGCGUUGUUCGGAUUUACUGGGCGUAAAGCGUGCGCAGGCGGUUGUGUAAGCCAGAUGUGAAAUCCCCGGGCUCAACCUGGGAAUGGCGAUGGAGACUGCAAGGCUAGAGUUUGGCAGAGGGGGGUAGAAUUCCACGUGUAGCAGUGAAAUGCGUAGAUAUGUGGAGGAACACCGAUGGCCGAAGGCAGCCCCCUGGGUCAAAACUGACGCUCAUGCACGAAAGCGUGGGGAGCAAACAGG